rnacentral:rRNA from 1 species
UGGGGAAUUUUGGACAAUGGGGGCAACCCUGAUCCAGCAAUGCCGCGUGUGUGAAGAAGGCCUUCGGGUUGUAAAGCACUUUUGUCCGGGAAGAAAUCGCACCUGAUAAUACCGGGUGUGGAUGACGGUACCGGAAGAAUAAGGACCGGCUAACUACGUGCCAGCAGCCGCGGUAAUACGUAGGGUCCAAGCGUUAAUCGGAAUUACUGGGCGUAAAGCGUGCGCAGGCGGUUGUGCAAGACCGAUGUGAAAUCCCCGGGCUUAACCUGGGAAUUGCAUUGGUGACUGGACGGCUAGAGUGUGUCAGAGGGGGGUAGAAUUCCACGUGUAGCAGUGAAAUGCGUAGAGAUGUGGAGGAAUACCGAUGGCGAAGGCAGCCCCCUGGGAUAACACUGACGCUCAUGCACGAAAGCGUGGGGAGCAAACAGG